rnacentral:rRNA from 1 species
CCUACGGGGGGCAGCAGUAGGGAAUAUUGCUCAAUGGGGGAAACCCUGAAGCAGCAACGCCGCGUGGAGGAUGAAGGUUUUAGGAUUGUAAACUCCUUUUGUUAGAGAAGAUUAUGACGGUAUCUAACGAAUAAGAAACGGCUAACUCCGUGCCAGCAGCCGCGGUAAUACGGAGGGUGCAAGCGUUACUCGGAAUCACUGGGCGUAAAGAGUGCGUAGGCGGGUUAAUAAGUCAGAUGUGAAAUCCUGUAGCUUAACUACAGAACUGCAUUUGAAACUGUUACUCUAGAGUGUGGGAGAGGUAGGUGGAAUUCUUGGUGUAGGGGUGAAAUCCGUAGAGAUCAAGAGGAAUACUCAUUGCGAAGGCGACCUACUGGAACAUUACUGACGCUGAUGCACGAAAGCGUGGGGAGCAAACAGGAUUAGAUACCCCAGUAGUC